rnacentral:lncRNA from 1 species
ACUGUGAGAAAAGACAGAAAUGACCAUGAUGCAUCUUUCUCACUAUGAGAAAAAGAAUACUGAGUAUGUUCCUGUGUCACCUUAUUUGCCAAUAGUGCCAAUUUUUAGAAUGGAGGGUGUAGAUCCAUCCUUUGCAACUGGUGAGGACCUCCUCAGUAAGGCACUGAGCCAGGAGUCUAUACAGCCAUGCCAGCAGGGAGCACUGUCUUUCAUUGUCUGAUGUUUAUUGCAAACCUGUUCUUUUCAGCUUUUUGUUGUUUCAGAAGUCUUGAGAGGAGUCAGCGGCCAAGCUCCAUGUCUUGCAGCCAAACAAUGCUGUGGGAUGGAAGGUGGGAUGUCAUGUGUCUGGUUUACAGCACUCACGUAUCAGUUGGCAGUUAACGGAAGUGCUACUGAUUGUAACAGUGGAAGCAAUUUGAAAUGAAAUACAACACUUAAAGCAAAUGAAACGGAAGUGAAUGCCAGCAGUAAAUGGCAAGAAGAAAUCCAGUUCAGUGUGUUCCUCAGAAAUCUUGCCUCUUGGGACUAAAUGCUGCAAAUGUAACUCUUAUCCUUGUUUUUCAAGUUUUACCAUCUCAAAGCUAUCCACUUUAUAUUAAAUUAGUUCUGUUAUAUUAUGUCAAUUUGUAUUCUUAAGAGCACAAGUUUGGCCUCAAAUAGACCUGAGCUGAGAUCCAAUUCUUUAAUUUAUCUGUGUUGUUUUCUUUUUCCUUAGCUUUAAAGUGGAAAAAAUGCUACUUACAUUUUAUUUAUGAAGGUUAAAGAUAAAGUGUCUGAUAUGGGACCUAUCAUAUGUGGUAGGCACUUAGUACAUGGUAGCAAUUAUGAUUAUUAUAUCUGAUAUUAGCAUUAUUAUUAUGAUUUGUUUUAAUCUUCAAAGUAUCAACUGUUUCUAUUACAUUUGUGGUAAAUACUCCUAAACAGAGUUUUUAAGUUCAAGUGUCCAAAGUUGUUAGAAACAAAGAUAUUUGACAAUAACAUAAUCAUAUCACAUGACCUCAUGAUUUAACCACCUCCCAAAGUUGCCACCUCCUAAUAUUAUCACCUUGGGGGUGAGGUUUCAACAUAUGAAUUUUAGAGGAACAUAAACAUUCAGACCAUAGCAAUAAUGAAGAUAAAGAGUUUAUUCAUAGAUAAAUGUUAAGAAGUAGAUACUGUUUGUUAGGAGAAGUGUCCACAGUUAGGGAGAAGUUAGAGGUCUGGUGUCAUCUUUGAUUUUUGUGUUUCUUCCGGAACCCUGUUGCCUGGCUUCCUACACUAUUUCUUGUGUCUUUUUCUUGUAGCUAAACUUGAACAUUUUUUCCUUGAGUACCAUUUUACAAUCAACUGUGCUUUUAUGCAGUGGACUUUCACUGAAUGUCCCCUAUUGGAAAUUUUAACAACAAUUUAACAACUAUUUAUUUGAUACUUUCUGUAUAACCAAUAUUAUUGAACAUCCUAGGAACACAUACAUAAAUAAAACUUGAUCUCUGCUUUCAGAAAA